GUCUACGACCAUGCCACCCUGAACGUGCCCGAUCUCGUCUGAUCUCAGAAGCUAAGCAGGGUUGGGCCUGGUUAGUACUUGGAUGGGAGACCACCUACGAAGACCAGGUGCUGUAGGCA
rnacentral:rRNA from 1 species